rnacentral:misc_RNA from 1 species
ACUUCUCUUGCCACCAUAUUUACAAUUUCAACUUUCAUUCCAUAUUUCCUAACACAAAUAAUAGGGCAGAUUGUAGAACCAAACCAUGUACCGUAUUUUUAGGCUUCUGAUUCCACCAUUCAUUAAUAGGGAAAGUGCACAAGCAAUACAUCUAAUAGAAAUUCUUAGGCUAUGCAAAUUUAGUGAUACAUCAAGCAUCUCUAGCAAACAAGUCG